rnacentral:lncRNA from 1 species
GUACCUGAUAACAUCAGAGGGUAGAAGACACACAGAGAGUUUCCGUGACCUUAUCCCCUAUGUGAUCUUGUCCAGUGUGACGGCUUUCCCCACUGGAGAAAUAUCAAAUCCCUAAGAAUAAUGACAUCAUAAUAGCUCAGUCUCAUACCUCAGAUGUAUCCUGCAAGAUCUGGAAGGAAUGUGGAUGUCAGAGAAGAGCAUGAGGAGACUUAAGAAACAUAACUUUGAGUUGAAAUUCUUUCAGUAUUAGUAAUAAAUCAUUUUGAAGGGAAAUGAGGAAGAUGGGUCAUCUAGGUGUUGUCCAGUUAUCCUGCCUGAGACAUCUACCUUUGGAUGAGCUAAGAGUUUUUAUAAUUCAUCACCUGGCUGACAGAUGAGUUCUGCUGGAGAAUAUUAGAAAAUGUCUCAAAUCUCAUAUAUAUGCUAAUGGUAUGCUGAGACUGGUUGGUGGUAUGCCGGAGUUUUUAAUCUGUCUCGACCAGUGUGGAAAGUGGAGGAGACAAGUCAUUGCACUCGACAAUUUAUGAUCAAACAACUGAAUUGUAAAGGAAGAAGGACAUGCAGAAAAGGAGAGUAAUUUUCUGAUUUAACAGCGUUGUUACUACAAAUAAAGAAAUCUUGAUUUUGACUGCA